GUGUCAGCAGCCGCGGUAAUACGGAGGGUGCAAGCGUUAUCCGGAUUCACUGGGUUUAAAGGGAGCGUAGGUGGGCAGGUAAGUCAGCGGUGAAAUCUCUGGGCUUAACCCGGAAACUGCCAUUGAUACUAUCUGUCUUGAAUAUUCUGGAGGUAAGCGGAAUAUGUCAUGUAGCGGUGAAAUGCUUAGAUAUGACAUAGAACACCCAUUGCGAAGGCAGCUUACUACGGAACUAUUGACACUGAGGCUCGAAAGCGUGGGGAUCAAACAGGAUUAGAUACCCUGGUAGUCCACGCCCUAAACGAUGGAUACUCGACAUCAGCGAUACACUGUUGGUGUCUGAGCGAAAGCAUUAAGUAUCCCACCUGGGAAGUACGACCGCAAGGUUGAA
rnacentral:rRNA from 1 species